rnacentral:rRNA from 1 species
GAUCCUGGCUCAGGACGAACGCUGGCGGCGCGCCUAACACAUGCAAGUCGAACGGAGCUAUGUUGAAAGCUUGCUGGAUAUAUAGCUUAGUGGCGGACGGGUGAGUAACACGUGAGCAACCUGCCUUUCAGAGUGGAAUAACGUUUGGAAACGAACGCUAAUACCGCAUAACGUCAGAGGAUGGCAUCGUCUUUUGACCAAAGAUUUAUCGCUGAAAGAUGGGCUCGCGGCCGUAG